GGCAACUGAAUCUGAAGAGCUCCAGGGUUCCUGAUUGCAGCUAGGAAGCUAAUUUAAAAGAUGUACUCAGUCUGAAUACAGGAGCUCCAUCACAAUUUGUUUAAAAGCUUGCGGGUUUAAAAAAAUAAAGUCAAGCAAUGCAUGUCCUUUCAACGAUGGUAGCAACAUGGUUUUAAAUUCCAACACUUUUUGUAAAGCGGAG